rnacentral:rRNA from 1 species
CCUACGGGUGGCAGCAGUGGGGAAUAUUGGACAAUGGGGGGAACCCUGAUCCAGCCAUGCCGCGUGUGUGAAGAGGCCCUCGGGUUGUAAAGCACUUUCAGUGAGGAAGAACGCCUGGUGGUUAAUACCCAUCAGGAAAGACAUCACUCACAGAAGAAGCACCGGCUAACUCCGUGCCAGCAGCCGCGGUAAUACGGAGGGUGCGAGCGUUAAUCGGAAUUACUGGGCGUAAAGCGCGCGUAGGUGGCUUGAUAAGCCGGUUGUGAAAGCCCCGGGCUCAACCUGGGAACGGCAUCCGGAACUGUCAAGCUAGAGUGCAGGAGAGGAAGGUAGAAUUCCCGGUGUAGCGGUGAAAUGCGUAGAGAUCGGGAGGAAUACCAGUGGCGAAGGCGGCCUUCUGGACUGACACUGACACUGAGGUGCGAAAGCGUGGGUAGCAAACAGGAUUAGAUACCCCGGUAGUC